UACGAAGGGGGCUAGCGUUGUUCGGAUUUACUGGGCGUAAAGCGCACGUAGGCGGAUCGUUAAGUCGGGGGUGAAAUCCUGGAGCUCAACUCCAGAACUGCCUUCGAUACUGGCGAUCUAGAGUCCGGAAGAGGUGAGUGGAACUCCUAGUGUAGAGGUGGAAUUCGUAGAUAUUAGGAAGAACACCAGUGGCGAAGGCGGCUCACUGGUCCGGUACUGACGCUGAGGUGCGAAAGCGUGGGGAGCAAACAGG
rnacentral:rRNA from 1 species